AGAGCACUCCCUACGGGAGGCAGCAGUGGGGAAUAUUGCACAAUGGGCGCAAGCCUGAUGCAGCCAUGCCGCGUGUAUGAAGAAGGCCUUCGGGUUGUAAAGUACUUUCAGCAGUGAGGAAGGUGGAUAUGUUAAUAGCAUAUUCAUUUGACCGUUAGCUGCAGAAGAAGCACCGGCUAACUCCGUGCCAGCAGCCGCGGUAAUACGGAGGGUGCGAGCGUUAAUCGGAAUUACUGGGCGUAAAGCGCAUGCAGGUGGUUUGUUAAGUCAGAUGUGAAAGCCCGGGGCUCAACCUCGGAAUUGCAUUUGAAACUGGCAAACUAGAGUACUGUAGAGGGGGUAGAAUUUCAGGUGUAGCGGUGAAAUGCGUAGAGAUCUGAAGGAAUACCGGUGGCGAAGGCGGCCCCCUGGACAGAUACUGACACUCAGAUGCGAAAGCGUGGGGAGCAAACAGGAUUAGAUACCCUGGUAG
rnacentral:rRNA from 1 species